rnacentral:rRNA from 1 species
CAGCAGCCGCGGUAAUACGGAGGGUGCGAGCGUUAUCCGGAAUUACUGGGUUUAAAGGGUGCGUAGGCGGUUAUGUAAGUCAGGAGUGAAAGUUUGCGGCUCAACCGUAAAAUUGCUUUUGAUACUGCAUAGCUUGAAUUAGGAUGAGGUCAGCGGAAUGUGGCAUGUAGCGGUGAAAUGCAUAGAUAUGCCAUAGAACACCAAUUGCGAAGGCAGCUGACUAGACCUGGAUUGACGCUGAGGCACGAAAGCGUGGGGAGCGAACAGGAUUAGAUACCCUGGUAGUCCACGCCCUAAACGAUGCUUACUCGACGUAUGAUGCUAGUCAUUGUGCGUCCAAGGGAAACCGUUAAGUAAGCCACCUGGGGAGUACGACCGCAAGGUUGAAACUCAAAGGAAUUGACGG